rnacentral:rRNA from 1 species
AUUGAACGCUGGCGGCAUGCCUUACACAUGCAAGUCGAACGGCAGCACGGGAGCUUGCUCCUGGUGGCGAGUGGCGAACGGGUGAGUAAUGCAUCGGAACGUGCCCUGAAGUGGGGGAGUAACGUAGCGAAAGUUACGCUAAUACCGCAUAUUCUGUGAGCAGGAAAGACAGGGGAGUCUUCGGACCUUGCGCUUUUGGUAGCGGCCGAUGUCGGAUUAGCUAGUUGGUGGGGUAAAGGGACCCACCAAGGCGACGAUCCGUAGCGGGUCGUGAGAGGAUGAUCCGCCACACUGGAACUGAGACACGGUCCAGACUCCUACGGGAGGCAGCAGU